ensembl:snoRNA
UUGCCUAUGGAAAUAUCUGUUCCUCAUUCCUGUAGGAGCAGGAAUACACCCAUAAUACGCUACAUUAAAAAAGAGCUCCCAGGGCCACCAACCUUACAGUUGAGGUUGAGUAGCAGUAUGUCUCUCCUACAUAA